rnacentral:tRNA from 1 species
GAGGGUAUAGCUCAGUGGGAGAGCACUGUGCUCAGCAUGCAUGAGGUCAUGGGUUCAACCCCCAGUACCUCUA